AGAGUUGAUCCUGGCUUAGGACAAACGCUGGCGGCGUGCCUAACACAUGCAAGUCGAACGGACCCUUCGGGGUUAGUGGCAGACGGGUGAGUAACACGUAGGUAAUGUACCUUCUUGCUGGGAUACCUACCGAAAGGUGGUUAACUAACCGAAUGGUCUCAUACUGACGGCAUACGCGGUAUGAGUAAAGUGUUCAGCGCGAGAGGAAUCAGCCUGCGGGCCAGUCAGCUUGUUGGUGGGUAACGGCCUACCAAGGCAUCGACGGUUAGCCGGUCUGAGAGGAUGAUCGGCCACACUGGAACUGAGACACGGUCCAGACUCCUACGGGAGGCAGCAGUGGGGAAUAUUGGGCAAUGGGCGAAAGCCUGAACCCCAGCGGCGCCGCGUGAGGGAAGAAGGUCUUCGGAUUGUAAACCUCUUUCGGCAGGGAAGAAGGAAGUGACGGUACCUGCAGAAGAAGUCACGGCUAACUACGUGCCAGCCGCUGC
rnacentral:rRNA from 1 species